rnacentral:rRNA from 1 species
AAGGGCAAUUGCCUUAGUACGGCGAGUGAAGCGGCAAAAGCUCAAAUUUGAAAUCUGGCACCUUCGGUGUCCGAGUUGUAAUUUGAAGAAGGUAACUUUGGAGUUGGCUCUUGUCUAUGUUCCUUGGAACAGGACGUCACAGAGGGUGAGAAUCCCGUGCGAUGAGAUGCCCAAUUCUAUGUAAAGUGCUUUCGAAGAGUCGAGUUGUUUGGGAAUGCAGCUCUAAGUGGGUGGUAAAUUCCAUCUAAAGCUAAAUAUUGGCGAGAGACCGAUAGCGAACAAGUACAGUGAUGGAAAGAUGAAAAGAACUUUGAAAAGAGAGUGAAAAAGUACGUGAAAUUGUUGAAAGGGAAGGGCUUGAGAUCAGACUUGGUAUUUUGCGAUCCUUUCCUUCUUGGUUGGGUUCCUCGCAGCUUACUGGGCCAGCAUCGGUUUGGAUGGUAGGAUAAUGACUAAGGAAUGUGGCUCUACUUCGGUGGAGUGUUAUAGCCUUGGUUGAUACUGCCUGUCUAGACCGAGGACUGCGUCUUUUGACUAGGAUGUUGGCAUAAUGAUCUUAAGCCACCCGUCUUGAA